rnacentral:rRNA from 1 species
UUUCGCCCCGUUUUGGGAUUCGAUUUAGCCUGCUAGUCGCACGAGUUCAGACUCGUGGCGAAUAGCUCAGUAACACGUGGCCAAACUACCCUUCGGAACACAAUACCCUCGGGAAACUGAGGCUAAUAGUGUAUACCACAGUCCACCUGGAAUGAGGACUGUGCCAAACGCUCCGGCGCCGAAGGAUGUGGCUGCGGCCGAUUAGGUAGACGGUGGGGUAACGGCCCACCGUGCCAAUAAUCGGUACGGGUCAUGAGAGUGAGAACCCGGAGACGGAAUCUGAGACAAGAUUCCGGGCCCUACGGGGCGCAGCAGGCGCGAAACCUUUACACUGCACGACAGUGCGAUAAGGGAAUCCCAAGUGCGUAGGCAUAGAGCCUACGCUUUUGUCCACCGUAGGGAGGUGGACGAAUAAGGGCUGGGCAAGACCGGUGCCAGCCGCCGCGGUAAUACCGGCAGCCCGAGUGAUGGCCGAUCUUAUUGGGCCUAAAGCGUCCGUAGCUGGCCGCGCAAGUCUAUCGGAAAAUCCACCCGCUCAACGGGUGGGCGUCCGGUAGAAACUGCGUGGCUUGGGACCGGAAGGCGCCAACGGGUACGUNCGGGGUAGGAAUGAAAUCCUGUAAU